rnacentral:tRNA from 1 species
UCGGAGGUCGUCUAAUGGUAGGACACCAGGUUCUGGCCCUGGCAAUUGGGGUUCGAAUCCCUGCCUCCGAGC